AACGCUAGCUACAGGCUUAACACAUGCAAGUCGAGGGGAAACGACAUCGAAAGCUUGCUUUUGAUGGGCGUCGACCGGCGCACGGGUGAGUAACGCGUAUCCAACCUGCCCACCACUUGGGGAUAACCUUGCGAAAGUAAGACUAAUACCCGAUGAUAUCUCUAGAAGACAUCUGAAAGGGAUUAAAGAUUUAUCGGUGAUGGAUGGGGAUGCGUCUGAUUAGCUUGUUGGCGGGGUAACGGCCCACCAAGGCUACGAUCAGUAGGGGUUCUGAGAGGAAGGUCCCCCACAUUGGAACUGAGACACGGUCCAAACUCCUACGGGAGGCAGCAGUGAGGAAUAUUGGUCAAUGGGCGAGAGCCUGAACCAGCCAAGUAGCGUGCAGGACGACGGCCCUAUGGGUUGUAAACUGCUUUUAUAAGGGAAUAAAGUGAGUCUCGUGAGGCUUUUUGCAUGUACCUUAUGAAUAAGGACCGGCUAAUUCCGUGCCAGCAGCCGCGGUAAUACGGAAGGUCCGGGCGUUAUCCGGAUUUAUUGGGUUUAAAGGGAGCGUAGGCCGGAGAUUAAGCGUGUUGUGAAAUGUAGACGCUCAACGUCUGCACUGCAGCGCGAACUGGUUUCCUUGAGUACGCACAAAGUGGGCGGAAUUCGUGGUGUAGCGGUGAAAUGCUUAGAUAUCACGAAGAACUCCGAUUG
rnacentral:rRNA from 1 species